CGUCAAAUCAUCACGGCCCUUAUGUCUUGGGCUACACACGUGCUACAAUGGUUACUGCAAUGUGAUGCCAUCUGGUGACAGAGAGCUAAUCAAUAAAGGUAAUCUCAGUUCGGAUCGGAGUCUGCAACUCGACUCUGUGAAGUUGGAUUCGCUAGUAAUCGUAUAUCAGCAAUGAUACGGUGAAUACGUUCCCGGGCCUU
rnacentral:rRNA from 1 species